GUUGUUAGCUCAGUGGCAGAGCAUCUGCUUGGCAUGCGGAAGAAAGUCCCAGGUUCAAUCCCUGGCAUCUCUG